rnacentral:sRNA from 1 species
GCUGGGCGCAGUGCCCACGCCUGUCAUCCCAGCGGCUCAGGAGGCCGAGGCAGGAGGAUCGCCGGUUGGAGGCCAGCCUCAGCCACUUAGCGAGGCCCUAAGCAACUCAGUGAGACCCUGACUCUA